rnacentral:rRNA from 1 species
AUACGAAGGGGGCUAGCGUUGCUCGGAAUUACUGGGCGUAAAGCGUGCGCAGGCGGUUAUGUAAGACAGAUGUGAAAUCCCCGGGCUCAACCUGGGAACUGCAUUUGUGACUGCAUAGCUAGAGUGCGGCAGAGGGGGAUGGAAUUCCGCGUGUAGCAGUGAAAUGCGUAGAUAUUCGGAAGAACACCAGUGGCGAAGGCGACUUACUGGACCAUUACUGACGCUGAGGCUCGAAAGCGUGGGGAGC